rnacentral:rRNA from 1 species
GACGUAGGAGGCGAGCGUUGUCCGGAUUCAUUGGGCGUAAAGAGCACGCAGGCGGUUUGGCAAGUCGGAUGUGAAAACCCGAAGCUCAACUCGGGCGUGCAUCCGAAACUGCCCGACUAGAGGUAGGUGAGGGGAGAUCGGAAUUCCUGGUGUAGCGGUGAAAAUGCGCAGAUAUCAGGAGGAACACCGAUGGCGAAGGCAGCUCGCUGGGACGGUACUGACG